GCCAGGUACUGUGAUGUGGGCCAGGAAAACGACUUCCGUUAGAGGCUUUGCCGAUGAGCCGUGGGUCACGACGUUUCGCCAGUUCUGAUCCGUGGAACAGGAACGUGGCUUUUCUGGUAGUGCGGCCGCAUAGAGUUAUUGUAGGGUUCGUUUCCUCUCUGAAACUUGUAGAGGCGAAUCCGGGGUAGGAGACGGCGCAAGGGAUGGAUUUCUUGAUGCAGACUAUAAGCGGAUCCCCUGUGCUUUAAGAGGUCGAGGACAAUGAAGCCCCCCAUGGAUCUGCCACCUUCCACGGUGGCUGCUUUGGUGGGGAAGCUGGAACAAGCGCCGGCGCCAGUCUUGACUGUAGGCGCGCAGAUCUGGGAUGAAGAAGCCGUGGUGAUUGGAGGAAGGAAGAACUCACCCCCGGUGUCCGCGCAGUCGACCAGCAAGCCCGGGGUGGACUAAGAGGUUAGUGCAUAACUGAAAAAAUCCUAUUGAUUUCCACUUGCUUGGUGUGCGUCAUUGACAUGGAAGUAUGUGGCGUUCACAGUUAGUCUACUAGCAGCCUGCAUAUAGAUUUGGGAGCUCUAUGGGUGACUUGUGUUAGAAAAGUAAUUUUUUUCCUUCCACUUGCGCAACUGUUGG
rnacentral:rRNA from 1 species